UGCCAGACUCCUACGGGAGGCAGCAGUGGGGAAUAUUGCACAAUGGGGGAAACCCUGAUGCAGCGACGCCGCGUGGGUGAAGAAGCGCCUCGGCGCGUAAAGCCCUGUCAGCAGGGAAGAAAAUGACGGUACCUGAAGAAGAAGCCCCGGCUAACUACGUGCCAGCAGCCGCGGUAAUACGUAGGGGGCAAGCGUUAUCCGGAUUUACUGGGUGUAAAGGGGGCGCAGACGGCGAUGCAAGCCAGGAGUGAAAGCCCGGGUCUCAACCCCGGCGAGCCGUUGAAACUGGCUGUCUUGAGAUGUCGAGAGGUAUGCGGAAUGCGCAGUGUAGCGGUGAAAUGCUUAGAUAUUGCGCAGAACUCCGAUUGCGAAGGCAGCAUACCGGCGGCGAUCUGACGCUGAGGCACGAAAGCGUGGGUAUCGAACAGGAUUAGAUACCCGAGUAC
rnacentral:rRNA from 1 species